rnacentral:lncRNA from 12 species
CAAAAAUUACAGAAAUUACACUGAGCAAAGCAGGGGGUUUCAGACAUCUCUUUCUCUCUCUCUCUCUCUCUCUCUUUCUAAGAUUCAAUCCAGGUCUUCCUUGGAGAAAGUCACAAAACAACGGAAAAGAAAAGGAAAGGAUAGGGAUUUUUCAUUCUUCUGUUUGCUAACUGCACUGUGGCUGGAAAUUGCUGCUAGCAACAAUGUUAUAUAGAACAUAAAGAAUAAAGAACCCUGAGAAGCGUCUAUUUAUAGAGCAAAUACUUGGAUACCAUUGUGCAGUCUCCUGCCAAUGGCAAAGAAAUACCCAUGACCUGGUAGAAAGAGCCUGGAAGGACACCUGAGUUCCAUGACUAGCUGACUUUCUUAGCUUCCCCAGCUAGCAUUUCACCAGGUUUCUCUUCCCAUUCUGCAAAAGAGGAGGUGAAGCAGUUGAUCCUUAAGUUCCCUUAAAGCUCUAACUUCCCCAAAUCCUCUCCUUUGAUUCUCUCUCAGCCACUGGAGAGAUUACUUGCCACAGUAAAGGCUGGAAUUCAGUCAGAGGAAGGCAAAGAAACAUCUAGAUGACCGAAGCAGUUGUGACACAGAAGCCUCAAGAAUGAGACGAACGUGAUUUCAGUGACAUGCUAUGGCCACCUCCUCACUGUCAUGAGUCAACCGUGGCUCUGCAGUUAAUGAACAGCAAGCCGAGAAGUUUGGUAUGUGGGCUGGUGAGCAGCUAGCCAGCUCAUCUUUCAAACACACCCACUAAGCAACAUGGUGGCUUUCUCUGGGAAUCCUCUUCCGAGACAUCUGCCUGGUGCUCAUGGACUCAGUCACUCCCAUCCUGAUGCCUCCACACUUUCCUCCAGAACCUUCUUUAUUGAAGUAAGGAAAGCACAGCACCUUCAUAUGUACAAGCCUGAAUAUAAAGCAGUGAGAUUGAUUCCACAAAUUUCAUACCAAAAUAAAGUCUUACUGUUUUAUAGUCACAGUCUAUAUUUGUCUGUUUAUAUUCCUAUUUAUAUAUGCAUAUAGAGAUACUGUAUUUAGAUUUUGAUUUCCUUCCCCUACAACUGUCAUUCUAUUUUUAAAAGAUUUUUUUCACUCUUCAACUACGGUAAGAAAAGACAGAAUUAUGCAGGUAAGUUGCUGUGGUUAUAGAACAGGUGGCAACCAAGAGACAUUUAAAAAAAAAUAAAGUGUAAUUUCCCUCAAGACUAUUCUUCA